UUCCGGUUGAUCCCGCCGGAGGCUACCGCUAUUGGAGUUCGAUUAAGCCAUGCGAGUCGUGAGUCCUAGGGACUCGGCGUACCGCUCAGUAACACGUGGGUAACCUGCCCUAUGCUGGGGAAUAACCUCGGGAAACUGAGAAUAAUGCCCCAUAGUUCACCACGCCUGGAACGGUGGGUGGAUGAAAGCUCCGGCGGCAUAGGAUGGGCCUGCGGCGUAUCAGGUUGUAGGGGGUGUAAUGUACCCUCUAGCCAUCUACGCGUACGGGUGUUGGGAGACAUCGCCCGGAGAUGGAUUCUGAGACACGAAUCCAGACCCUACGGGGUGCAGCAGGCGCGAAAACUUGGCAAUGCGAGCAAUCGUGACCAGGGAACUCCAAGUGCAUCGGGUAAGACCGAUGCUUUUCUUGACUCUUCAAAGGUCUUGGAAUAAGAGGUGGGUAAGGACGGUGCCAGCCGCCGCGGUAAUACCGGCGCCUCAAGUGGUAGUCGCUUUUAUUGGGCCUAAAACGUCCGUAGCCGGUUUGGUACAUUCGUGGGUAAAUCAAGGCGCUCAACGUCUUGAAUUCUGCGAGCACGGCCAGACUUGGGACCGGGUGAGGUGUGGGGUACUCUCAGGGUAGGGGUAAAAUCCUGUCAUCCUGAGAGGACCACCUGUUGCGAAGGCGCCACACUAGAACGGAUCCGACGGUCAGGGACGAAGCCUAGGGGCACGAACCGGAUUAGAUACCCGGGUAGUCCUAGGUGUAAACGCUGUGGACUUGAUGUUGGAAGUGCUCCGAGCACCCUCAGUGUCGAAGCGAAGGUGAUAAGUCCACUGCCUGGGGAGUACGGUCGCAAGGCUGAAACUUAAAGGAAUUGGCGGGGGAGCACUGCAACCUGAGGAUUGUGCGGUUUAAUUGGAUUCAACGCCGGA
rnacentral:rRNA from 1 species